GUUUACUACAUGAUUCCAUAUGUGUUAUUUCUUAGUUUUGAUGUCUUCACUAUUAUUAUACAAUGUAGAAAAUAGUAAAAAUAAAGAAAAACCCUUGAAUGAGUAGGUGUGACUGGUACAGUAUAUAUAUAUUAUAUAUGCAUGCACACGCACAAGCGAACACACACCUCUCUAAAGCUCCCAGAUAUAGACUAUCCACUGAACUACUCUCUAUCUCUCGCUGCAGUGAACUUUUGAGCUGUUAUUUUCAGGGUGAAACCAGGUCGUGUUCACAGUUCAGUUCACAGUUCAGUUCUCACACACACCCUCUUAAACACACACACACACACACACACACACACACACACACACACACACACACACACGUUUAUAACAAAAACAGGGGGCCAGGCAAACGACAAGUCAAGGGCAGGCAGAGGUCAGUAAUCCAGAGCAGAGUCUGAAAAGUACCGAAUGGCUGGCAGGCAGAGAGAGGUCAGUAAUCGAGGUUGGUGUGACAAGGUACAGAAUGGUAGACGGGCUCAGGGUCAGGGCAGGCAGAAUGGUCAAAACCCGGGAAAACUAGAAAACAGGAACUAGAGAAACACAAGAGCACGCGGUAAAAACGCUGGUAGGCUUGUACAAGCCUUAGUAAAUCAAAUCAAAUCACAUGUAUUAGUCACAUGCUCCGAAUACAACGGGUGUAGACCUCACAGUGAAACGCUGAAUACAACGGGUGUAGACCUUACAGUGAAACGCUGAAUACAACGGGUGUAGACCUUACAGUGAAACGCUGAAUACAACGGGUGUAGACCUUACAGUGAAACGCGUACUUACGAGCCCUUAACCGACAUUGCAGUUUUAAGAAAAACAUGGUUAAUAAAAUAUUUGCUAAUUAAACUAAACUAAGUAAAAAAAAAAUGAAAGAGUAAAAAUAAAAUAACAAUAACGAGACAGGGGGUAUGGUACUGUAUAAGGGGUUAUGGUACUGUAUAAGGGGGUAUGGUACUGUAUACAGGGGGUAUGGUACUGUAUACAGGGGGUACGGUACUGUAUACAGGGGGUAUGGUACUGUAUACAGGGGGUAUGGUACUGUAUACAGGGGGUACGGUACUGUAUAAGGGGGUACGGUACUGUAUACAGGGGGUACGGUACUGUAUACAGGGGGUACGGUACUGUAUACAGGGGGUAUGGUACUGUAUACAGGGGGUAUGGUACUGUAUACAGGGGGUACGGUACUGUAUAAGGGGGUACGGUACUGUAUACAGGGGGUGCGGUACUGUAUACAGGGGGUACUGUAUACAGGGGGUACGGUACUGUAUACAGGGGGUAUGGUACUGUAUACAGGGGGUACGGUACUGUAUACAGGGGGUACGGUACUGUAUACAGGGGGUACGGUACUGUAUACAGGGGGUACGGUACUGUAUACAGGGGGUAUGGUACUGUAUACAGGGGGUAUGGUACUGUAUACAGGGGGUACGGUAUACAGGGGGUAUGGUACUAUAUACAGGGGGUACUGUAUACAGAGAAAAACCCUUGAAUGGUAUACAGGGGGUAUGGUACUAUAUACAGGGGGUACUGUAUACAGGGGGUAUGGUACUAUAUACAGGGGGUACGGUACUAUAUACAGGGGGUACGGUACUGUAUACAGGGGGUAUGGUACUGUAUACAGGGGGUACGGUACUGUAUACAGGGGGUAUGGUACUGUAUACAGGGGGUAUGGUACUGUAUACAGGGGGUACGGUAUACAGGGGGUAUGGUACUAUAUACAGGGGGUACUGUAUACAGGGGUAUGGUACUGUAUACAGGGGUUACGGUAUACAGAGAAAAACCCUUGAAUGGUAUAUAGGGGGUAUGGUACUAUAUACAGGGGGUACUGUAUACAGGGGUUAUGGUACUAUAUACAGGGGGUACGGUACUAUAUACAGGGGGUACGGUACUGUAUACAGGGGGUAUGGUACUGUAUACAGGGGGUAUGGUACUAUAUACAGGGGAUACUGUAUACAGGGGGUACGGGACACCUGUAGAAGACACCUGUACCAUGUCAGAUAUAAAGUUAAAAUGUAUUACAUUUUGAGCUUCCAACACAAUAUUAGACUUUAUAUAAAUCACAGAAAACUGAAAUAUAACAAAACGAUUUGACAUAGAAACAACAGAUUAUCUGUACUUUUCUAUUAAUAACAUUCCAUUCAUGAGGCCAAGGAGGGCGCUUUUGGUCAUUGACUGCAGGAAAGAGCUACUUAGGGAUCGAGUUUAAGAUUCACUGAGCAAAAGUAUUCAAUGUACAGGUAGGGGAGAGUGGGGUAAAUUGAGCCAAAAGGGGUAAGUUGAGCCACCCUUGUUUCUAGGAAACCAUACACACAAUUAAUAAUUAGAAAAAAAUAUUUAGGAAGAGGUCAUCAUUUCAUGGAAACUAUGAAGGAAGAACCACUUGGAAAAAGUGGUAAGCAAGAAGUAAAAAAAAACUUAAAAAAAAAACGGAUUUUCACAAAGUCAAAUGUAGAAUUUAUUGUGUUAAGAGGUUCCAUGAUGCUUGUAUCUAAACCAAAGUAGAUCAUUUUAAGAUUGUUAUACACAUCAGUUGGGGGUCUCUAUCAGUUUCAAUAUGAGGUCCUAAACAUAGCAUGAAAGUGCAUCCUUGUAGCUGUGUGGGCUAUAGUCAAAAUGUUUGCCCUUGGGGUAAGUUGAGAAAAUGGUUGAGCCAAUUUGUUAGGUAUUAAGCCUGUGUUAAAAUAUGCUUAAAAUGAUUCAAAGACAAACAGUGAUUGUGUUGAAUUAUGUUUGGGAUAUUAAGAUAGACAUGGUUUAACGGUAGUGGCAUUAUUUAAUGAAAUGUGUAGGCGGCUUAACUUACCUUGUCCCGCCGUUCAACUUACCCCAUAAACAGGGGAAGUUGUGCCAAGAGACCAGUUUUCUUUCGGACAAGCUAUGUUUUAAAAACUGUAAUGUUUACAUGAAUUCUGAUUAUUACCAGGCAGAAACAACAUUCUGAAAUAUAUGUAGAUAUCUUUGUUAGAAAGAAUACUAUAUUUCGCUUGACCGUGUGAUGCUGAAUGUAAAAUGUGUCUCAACUUACCCCACUCUCCCCUACAACGAUGAUAAUACACUAAAAAUAUGAAGGGAUUUUAGAGUUCUUGUAGACUUUUUGAUGUGUGACAACAAGUGAAGGCCUUUUUAAAGUGUGAAAACUAAAAUGCAUUGAGGAAUACACCUGUGUCCUUCUUCACCUUGAUGUGUAGAGACAUGAGACUGCACAUUGAGACAGCCUCUUCUCUUCCCCUCUGUUUCCUCUCCAUUGUCAGAGUCUAGUAAAUCAAUCUUGAGAGACGCUCUUAUUUCUUUAAUGGGGACAGAAAGAGAGGACAGCCAGGGGCAUGGCGAUGUGAACUUAAUGUGAUUUUAGGCAUCUCCUGAAGCAUCUCACAUUGUUCUUAAAACAGCCCGUCUGCCUGUCUGUUACACACACACAGCCAGGGGCCCCGGUCAGCAUAUCGCUUCAAGAAGUCAGUCAACCAGUCAGUCAGAGCUAGUCAGACAUACUGUACAUACAUUCAGACAGACAACCGGCAGCCAGUCAGCGAGCCAGUCAGCCAUAUAGCCAGCCAACCAGCCAGUCAGCCAACCAUCCAGCCAGCCAUACAGCCAACCAACCAACCAGUCAGCCAGCCAUACAGCCAACCAACCAACCAGUCAGCCAGCCAACCAGUCAGCCAACCAACCAGUCAGCCAGCCAUACAGCCAACCAACCAACCAGUCAGCCAGCCAUACAGCCAACCAACCAACCAGUCAGCCAGCCAACCAGUCAGCCAACCAACCAACCAGCCAGACAGCCAGCCAGCCAGCCAAUGAGCCAACCAACCAGCCAGCCAACCAGCCAGCCUCUCCUCUCUUCCUCCUCCUUCAUGAUAAGGGGGCUAAGGCACUGCAUCUCAGUGCAAGAGGCACCACUACAGUCCCUGGUUCAAAUCCAGGCUGUUUCACAUCCGGCUGUGAUUGGGAGUCCCAUAGGGCGGCGCACAAUUGGCCCAGCAUUGGCCGGGUUAGGCCGUCAUUAGGAAAACAACACCUAGCUGCCGACUUGGGCCCCCACCGUUCAUGAGGACUGUAUGCUCCCGAUCUCAGUGGCUGACGUAAGACAUUCAAGGGUGUUAACGCUCGCAAGGUUGUCGGCCCAGACUUCAUCCCAAGCCGCUUACUCAGAGCAUGUGCAGACCAACUGGCUGGAGUAUUUACGGACAUAUUCAAUCUCUCCCUAUCCCAGUCUGCUGUCCCCACUUGCUUCAAGAUGUCCACCAUUGUUCCUGUACCCAAGAAAGUGAAGAUCAACGGACGACACAAUCGCCAUCGCACUGCACAAUGCCCUGUCCCACCUGGACAAGAGGAAUACCUAUAAGAGAAUGCUGUUCAUCGUCUACAGUUCAGCCUUCAACACCAUAGUGCCUUCCAAGCUCAUUACUAAGCUCAGGGCCCUGGGUCUGAACCCCUCACUGUGCAACUGGGUCCUAGGCUUCCUGAUUGGCCGACCCCAGGUGGUGAAGGUAGGCAACAAUGCGUGCUCAGCCCCCUCCUGUACUCCCUGUUCACCCAUGACUGCGUCAUCAAAUUUGCUGACGACACAAUAGUGGUACUGAAGGCCUGAUUACCAACAACAACGAGACAUCCUACAGGGAAGAGGUGAGAGUCCUGGAAGAGUGGUGUUACAGGGAGGAGGUGAGAGUCCUGGAGGAGGUGAGAGUCCUGGAGGAGUGGCGUUCCAGGGAGGAGGUGAGAGUCCUGGAGGAGUGGUGUUACAGGGAGGGGGUGAGAGUCCUGGAGGAGUGGUGUUACAGGGAGGAGGUCAAAUCAAAUCAAAUUUUAUUAGUCACAUGCGCCGAAUACAACAGGUGUAGUAGACCUCACAGUGAAAUGCUGAAUACAACAGGUGUAGCAGACCUCACAGUGAAAUGCUGAAUACAACAGGUGUAGUAGACCUCACAGUGAAAUGCUGAAUACAACAGGUGUAGUAGACCUUACAGUGAAAUGCUGAAUACAACAGGUGUAGUAGACCUUACAGUGAAAUGCUGAAUACAACAGGUGUAGUAGACCUUACAGUGAAAUGCUGAAUACAACAGGUGUAAGUAGACCUUACAGUGAAAUGCUGAAUAC
rnacentral:lncRNA from 1 species